GCAAACUUGGUCAUUUAGAGGAAGUAAAAGUCGUAACAAGGUUUCCGUAGGUGAACCUGCGGAAGGAUCAUUAUAGAGAGGAGCUUCCGCGCUCCCGGGGGUUGCAGCCCCCGACUCUCAACCCUAUGAUUGCUUACCACUGUUGCUUUGGCGGGCCUUGGGGAUAAAGUCCCAUGCCAGGCUGUUGCCCGGCAUGUGCCCGCCAGAAGCCCAUCUCCAAAACAUUCCCACUCUUAGGACUGUCCGAGUAUCUUUUUGCAAAACAAAACUUUCAACAACGGAUCUCUUGGUUCUGGCAUCGAUGAAGAACGCAGC
rnacentral:misc_RNA from 1 species